UACGAAGGGGGCUAGCGUUGUUCGGAUUUACUGGGCGUAAAGCGCACGUAGGCGGACUGUUAAGUCGGGGGUGAAAUCCUGGGGCUCAACCUCAGAAUUGCCUCCGAUACUGGCAGUCUCGAGUGCGGGAGAGGUGAGUGGAAUUCCCAGUGUAGAGGUGAAAUUCGUAGAUAUUGGGAAGAACACCAGUGGCGAAGGCGGCUCACUGGCCCGUAACUGACGCUGAGGUGCGAAAGCGUGGGGAGCAAACAGG
rnacentral:rRNA from 1 species